CCUACGGGUGGCAGCAGUAGGGAAUUUUGCGCAAUGGGCGAAAGCCUGACGCAGCAACGCCGCGUGUAUGAUUAAGCCCUUCGGGUUGUAAAGUUCUGUCAUCGGGGACGAAACUUGUCGGUAUACACCCUGGACUCACUGGCUUACCCCGUGCAAGCAGCCGCGGCAAUACGGAGGGUGCAAGCGUUGUCCGGACUCAUUGGGCGUAAAGUGUUCGUAGGUGGCAUAUUAAGUCUGGUGUGAAAUGCAGUAGCUCAACUUCUGUUCGGCACUGGAUACUGGUAAGCUUGCGUGCCGUAGAGGUGAAGGGAAUUCCUGGUGUAGCGGUGAAAUGCGUAGAUAUCAGGAGGAACAUCGGUGGCGUAAGCGCUUUACUGGGCCGUAAUUGACACUGAGGAGCGAAAGCCGGGGUAGCAAAUGGGAUUAGAUACCCGAGUAGUC
rnacentral:rRNA from 1 species